rnacentral:rRNA from 1 species
CCGUAGCCAAGAGACUGGGAUAACACCUGGAAACAGAUGCUAAUACCGGAUAACAACACUAGACGCAUGUCUAGAGUUUAAAAGAUGGUUCUGCUAUCACUCUUGGAUGGACCUGCGGUGCAUUAGCUAGUUGGUAAGGUAACGGCUUACCAAGGCAAUGAUGCAUAGCCGAGUUGAGAGACUGAUCGGCCACAUUGGGGCUGAGACACGGCCCAA